rnacentral:rRNA from 1 species
GACAAACGCUAGUGGCGUGCCUAAUACAUGCAAGUUGAACGAGAAAGUCUCUUCGGAGGCGAGUAAAGUAGCGAACGGGUGAGGAACACGUAAAUAACGUACCCUUAGGUGGGGGAUAACCAAUCGAAAGGUUGGCUAAUACCGCAUAAGACCACAGUAUCCACGGAUACAGGGGUCAAAGAUUUAUUGCCUAGGGAUCGGUUUGCGUCUGAUUAGCUUGUUGGUGGGAUAAAAGCCUACCAAGGCGACGAUCAGUAGCUGAUCUGAGAGGAUGAUCAGCCACAUUGGGACUGAGACACGGCCCAAACUCCUACGGGAGGCAGCAGUAGGGAAUAUUGGACAAUGGGGGCAACCCUGAUCCAGCCAUGCCGCGUGUGUGAAGAAGGCCUUCGG